UAUCUCCUACGGGGGGCAGCAGUGGGGAAUAUUGGGCAAUGGGCGCAAGCCUGACCCAGCAACGCCGCGUGAAGGAAGAAGGCUUUCGGGUUGUAAACUUCUUUUGUCAGGGACGAAGCAAGUGACGGUACCUGACGAAUAAGCCACGGCUAACUACGUGCCAGCAGCCGCGGUAAUACGUAGGUGGCAAGCGUUAUCCGGAUUUAUUGGGUUUAAAGGGUGCGCAGGCGGUCUGUUAAGUCAGCGGUCAAAGCCCGGGGCUCAACCCCGGCCCGCCGUUGAAACUGGCAGUCUCGAGUUGGAGG
rnacentral:rRNA from 1 species